AAUGAGAGUUAUGGCAUCAAUAUUUUGUAGCACAUAAUGAUGAGCUUGCUCUUAUGUAACUUCAUCAAUAUAUAUAUUGACUCCCUUUCCAAUAGGACAACCCAAAUUAUUUCCACCAUCAUUAUUCCGAAUCAAUUGAUUUGACCUAGUUUCAACAUCUUGUAAAUAUCUUGAACAUAUGCAUAGUGGAUGCUCUUAAAUAUAUAUCUCACCAGCUUG
rnacentral:lncRNA from 1 species